rnacentral:rRNA from 1 species
UUUCCAUAUAAAACUCUUUAUGGUAGUACCUGCUCUAUGUAAAUUUUAUAAAUGGCCGCAGUAUCUUGACUGUGCAAAGGUAGCAUAAUUAAUUGCCUUAUAAUUGAAGGCUUGUCUGAAUGGUUUGACGUGGUAAUUACAAAUAUUCGGUUUUUUGUUGAAAUUAAUAUGGAGGGCACAGAAUCCUCCUACUUUAAUUAGACGGAAAGACCCCAGGAUCUUUCGUUUUUGUCUGGGGCAGAUGAAAAUUUUUCAUUUUUAUUGUGACCCUUUUUGGUUCAAUGAGUUAAGUUACCCUGGGGAUAACAGUGUAAUAGUUUAUUAGAGGCCUUAUCGAAUAAACUGUUUGCUACCUCGAUGUUGACUUAGGUAAGUAGUCUAGGCGCAGCAGUCUAGGCUUUUGGUCUGUUCGACCUUUGUUACCUCCAUG